GGCCCAAAUUUGAAGUAGAAUAGAUUAGUAGAAUCACUUGACCCUACUAAACUACUCUACUUCGAGUUUGUGCCC
rfam:Haemonchus placei strain MHpl1 genome assembly, scaffold: HPLM_scaffold0000781